UAAAUGGUAAUAUACUGAAAAGUAGAUCUUGAUUCUAGUUCUAACCUUACAAAAUGUCUUCAAAGGCAACUAAUCCAGAGCCUCCAAAAACUAUAAGAAAGGGUAACAUGCCAGAAAUAGUAAUGAUACAUCUGGGGGAAGAAUUGGGAGUGUAGUUAUGAUCAGAAAACAAUGUUUACAUGCAUAGAACUGUCAAAGAAUAAAAAGUGUUCUAUAUUUUAAAAUACAUACCUCUGCUCUAAAGCCAUAUUCAAUAAGAAACUUACUGACCUUUACUCCAUAUUUUACUUUUCCAGCAUAAUGUUUUAUGAUAAAAGCAGGCUCCAUCACAGCAGGAAAUUCAAUGUAAGAAUUCUCUUCAUGUUGAUGUUUAAACUUGUCAAGUAAUGUUUGGUUUGUAGCCUGUGGAAAGCUGAAUUGAACAAAUAAUGUGAAAGAUACAGUCUUUUAUAAGGCAUAAUAUUAAUAUACUAUACAAUUAAUGAAAAGUUUUUACCUACAGCAUCUAAUCAGAUUCUUUCCCUUUUUUGGCAGGGGUGGGAGAAGAGAGGGAUGGGAGUGAGGCUUACUAUGUAGCCUUGGCUGGCCUGGAACUUAAAAUGUAGACCAGGUUGGCUAUGAACUCCCAGGGAUCCACUCUCCUGAGUGCUGGGAUUAAAGGUAUGUGCCACCGUACCCAAGAAAAAUCAGACUCUUGUAACAAGCUAAAGAACUGAGGUUCCUAUUUUAUAGAUGUGGAGUCACAUUUUACAGUUAGGCCGAGAAAUAAGCCCAAGUCACUUGGUAUUAAAAGUUACACUGUGCAGAAAUACUGUACAGCUCAAAGGAAAAUAAAAACCAAAAUCAUAUGUUCUUUGGGGUCAAUUAUCUUUCAAAAAGGAAAUAAUCUCUGAUUCCUCAAUCCUUAAAGUAGAUACUCAUUUUUUGUUUCUUAUUUUCUCACACAUGAAUAAGGAAUAACUUUCCUAUCUAUAUCAAUUACUGUGUUAGAAUGCUGAAACAUGGCUUACUUGGGGAUUUUAGUGGGACUCACAAAGUCAGAAUGUAGAAUAAAGUUUCCCAUGGAAAUGGGGACCUCUACUGGAAACUGGGUUUGAUAAUUUUUCUUACAUUCUAGAAAAAUAACUCUUCUAUUUUUUGUUCAUCCCCAGAAACUUUUCAUAAAGCUGAGCUUAAAGACCACAGACUAACUUAUCUGGGAGGACAUUACAAAACAUGAAUUCAGGUUGCUGAUGGAUACUGUUGCCUAUUUUUUUCUCAUACUCACAGUGAGAAUUAGCACC
rnacentral:lncRNA from 1 species